AUUGAACGCUGGCGGCAUGCUUUACACAUGCAAGUCGAACGGUAACAGGGUGCUUGCACCGCUGACGAGUGGCGAACGGGUGAGUAAUGCGUCGGAACGUGCCGAGUAGUGGGGGAUAACGCAUCGAAAGGUGUGCUAAUACCGCAUACGUACUGAGGUAGAAAGUGGGGGACCUUCGGGCCUCACGCUAUUCGAGCGGCCGACGUCUGAUUAGCUAGUUGGUGUGGUAAAGGCUCACCAAGGCGACGAUCAGUAGCGGGUCUGAGAGGAUGAUCCGCCACACUGGGACUGAGACACGGCCCAGACUCCUACGGGAGGCAGCAGUGGGGAAUUUUGGACAAUGGGCGCAAGCCUGAUCCAGCCAUGCCGCGUGUCUGAAGAAGGCCUUCGGGUUGUAAAGGACUUUUGUCCGGGAGCAAAUACCCAGUGCUAAUAACGCUGGGGGCUGAGAGUACCGGAAGAAUAAGCACCGGCUAACUACGUGCCAGCCGCCGCAGUAAUAC
rnacentral:rRNA from 1 species